rnacentral:ribozyme from 1 species
UGCCCAGCAACUCCUAUCCCUACCUCCUCGUGGUACUGGCCGGGGUACGAGUAACCUUAGGGAAGAUCGGGUAACCAACCCCCGGUGGGAACUUUGGUCGUAUGCUGACAGAAAAGG